rnacentral:rRNA from 1 species
GAUGAACGCUAGCGGCAGGCUUAACACAUGCAAGUCGAGCGGAGAUGAGGUGCUUGCACCUUAUCUUAGCGGCGGACGGGUGAGUAAUGCUUAGGAAUCUGCCUAUUAGUGGGGGACAACAUUCCGAAAGGAAUGCUAAUACCGCAUACGUCCUACGGGAGAAAGCAGGGGAUCUUCGGACCUUGCGCUAAUAGAUGAGCCUAAGUCGGAUUAGCUAGUUGGUGGGGUAAGGGCCUACCAAGGCGACGAUCGGUAGCGGGUCUGAGAGGAUGAUCCGCCACACUGGGACUGAGACACGGCCCGGACUCCUACGGGAGGCAGCAGUGGGGAAUAUUGGACAAUGGGGGGAACCCUGAUCCAGCCAUGCCGCGUGUGUGAAGAAGGCCUUAUGGUUGUAAAGCACUUUAAGCGAGGAGGAGGCUACUGAGACUAAUACUCUUGGAUAGUGGACGUUACUCGCAGAAUAAGCACCGGCUAACUCUGUGCCAGCAGCCGCCGUAACAC